rnacentral:rRNA from 1 species
GAUGAACGCUGGCGGCGUGCUUAACACAUGCAAGUCGAACGGUGAAGGCGGAGCUUGCUCUGCUGGAUCAGUGGCGAACGGGUGAGUAACACGUGAGCAAUCUGCCCCUGACUCUGGGAUAAGCGCUGGAAACGGCGUCUAAUACUGGAUACGAGCUGCAAAGGCAUCUUCAGCAGCUGGAAAGAACUUCGGUCAGGGAUGAGCUCGCGGCCUAUCAGCUUGUUGGUGAGGUAACGGCUCACCAAGGCGUCGACGGGUAGCCGGCCUGAGAGGGUGACCGGCCACACUGGGACUGAGACACGGCCCAGACUCCUACGGGAGGCAGCAGUGGGGAAUAUUGCACAAUGGGCGAAAGCCUGAUGCAGCAACGCCGCGUGAGGGACGACGGCCUUCGGGUUGUAAACCUCUUUUAGCAGGGAAGAAGCGAAAGUGACGGUACCUGCAGAAAAAGCGCCGGCUAACUACGUG